CGAACGGGUGAGUAACACGUGAGUAACCUGCCCACAACUUUGGGAUAACGCUAGGAAACUGGUGCUAAUACUGGAUAUGUGCUCCUGCUGCAUGGUGGGGGUUGGAAAGCUCCGGCGGUUGUGGAUGGACUCGCGGCCUAUCAGCUUGUUGGUGGGGUAGUGGCCUACCAAGGCGGCGACGGGUAGCCGGCCUGAGAGGGUGACCGGCCACAUUGGGACUGAGAUACGGCCCAG
rnacentral:rRNA from 1 species